CCUCUCCAAAGCAGCCUCGCUAUUCAAUUUCGUCCUUCAACAUGUGUGUACCUGGAACCCAAUGGAUCGGUGGUGAUUCCAAGCUAUGCCGCUCCCCAGCUACUUACAAUAGGGACUUUUGCAUCUCUAGCUCAUCUCAUGGCAAAUAUUCCACCAUUUGCAAGUUAGGCACGCAGUCUGUGCAUGUACCAAGCGUGUGGCUUUCUGCAUAUGUCUGCACAUCAUUUUUCAGGAAACUCUAUUUCACACUACACCAGCUUGAUGAGUAGCUGUUGUUCACACCCACUGAGAAAUAACUCCAUGUGAGAAUAAUACCUUUACAACUUUGAAAUGUCCUCAGACAGACUUCUCAUCUCCAGGCCAUCAACCUGCUGUGAACUCUCAUCUUGACUUUUCACACUUACAGGCAACAGUCGUGCAACAUACUGUCAAACAAUAUGAAGGUUUGGGAAACGUGAAGGAGUGCAAAAUUAAAUUGGAGCCUGAACAUCUUUCUAGUUCAGGGUAAUAUUUAAUAAUUUAAAAAAAUCCACCACACAUGCAAGUAUAUUUGUACUUGGUGUCUAUUUAAACUUCUGCUCCGUGUCUCGGAAGCAUGUUUAGCCUUCUGAUUCUCCUUCACACUCUUUUUGUUGAAGAUUGGUGUAUGAACUCAGCAUCUGAGGUCCCUGUCCUCAAGACACUUUCUACUUACAUCUUCCUUAAGCUCUCUGAAGGCCAGCUACUCAUCUGUAUCUCCAGCACCAGGCACAUCCCAGGUUUCAAUGGAAUGAAAAGAAUUUAGAGCUGGAAAGUGGUCAAGAGCCUCAAGCCUGUUUCUGAGUGUUGGAUCAGAAUGAUGUGAAUACAGGGAGCGGUAUACAGCUGCCAAGAGGGACGGCAUCUGGCUCAUAGAGGUGUAUGUGUCUUCCAGGUCUUUACUGAAGUGCUGCCUUAUCAUUUAUCUGAAACAGUGGAUACAGAGAUAUGGAUUCGAGCACACGUACUAUUCUUUGAACGAUUACAUUGCAGAGCUACUUGGAGAUUCAAACAGCUGUCUAAAGUGUGGAUUAAGUGCUAAACAAUAAC
rnacentral:lncRNA from 1 species